UACGUAGGUGGCAAGCGUUGUCCGGAUUUAUUGGGUUUAAAGGGUGCGUAGGCGGCUUUGUAAGUCAGUGGUGAAAUACGGGUAGCUCAACUAUCGAGGUGCCAUUGAUACUGCGGAGCUUGAGUACAGAUGAGGUAGGCGGAAUUGACGGUGUAGCGGUGAAAUGCUUAGAUAUCGUCAAGAACACCUAUAGCGAAGGCAGCUUACUAGGCUGUAACUGACGCUGAGGCACGAAAGUGUGGGGAUCAAACAGG
rnacentral:rRNA from 1 species